AUGGCGAGGUAUUGGUGGAGUAGCUCAGUUGAUCGCAUAUCGUUGCACGGGAUCGAUUGGGACUCGCUAACUAAGCCGAAGAAUGCAGGAGGGAUGGGAUUCAGAAAUUUGGAAAUGUUUAACUUAGCUAUGCUUGGGAAACAUGGAUGGAUGCUGAUCACGAAUCCAGAAUCUCUCUGCGUACGUGUCUUGAAAGGAAAGUAUUUUCCCACUAGUGAGUUCAUGGAUGCAACUAUCCUGAAGCAUGCAUCAACCACUUGGAGGGCAAUUGUGGCGGGCAGAGAGGCCCUACGGACUGUCUUAAUAAAAAGAAUCGGAGAUGGCAUGUCUGUAUCAACAUGGAAUGAUAGCUGGAUUCCGGGCCUUCUCUCACUUCGGCCUUCGGUGCAAAUCAGAGAUGCCGCAAUUUCUUGA
rnacentral:rRNA from 1 species